rnacentral:lncRNA from 1 species
UGAGGAGGCUGAAGAAGACUGAGUGUGUCGUGGGCGUUCCAAGGUGCGAGUGGACUUGACACAGACGGGAAGUGGCUGCAGAAAAGUCAGAUGAGGCCAGAGUGCAAACAGACAAGGGGAUAACAGGCAAGUCCAUUCCAUCACCAGAGAGUCCUGCUGUUAACCGAUCGCCAGUGGGUUGCCUACCCUUUCCCCCAGGGAUCUCUAGCUCCUUCUUGCACCGGCACUGUCAGGUCUUUUCUGUACUUUGUUGGAUUCAAGAGACUGGACAAUCUGCAAGAUAAGUCUUACCGAAGAUGCCUUUCACACUAGCAGUAAGGCCAUGGAGGAAGGACAGAGUGAAUCAUGGAGAAAGAACAUCCCAUCUUACCACCCAAUACAAUUAUGCAGUUGUGGAAGUAGAACUGGAACUCUGGGAGAGUUCGUGUUUUGUUGGUGGCUGGCAGCGUCUUCUAAAAUAGAUCGUACUGUGCUAAGGACAAUUUCUAUGGAUAGACCAGAAGCCUACCAGUACAGGAUGUUUGGGUACAGGACACAGGCACAGGUGAUUCCUUACCCUGGGCACAGGGAAGUCCUUGCUUGAGAGCACAGCUGACAGGACCAAAGAUUAGCACCUCAGUCAAAGGAAGGCAGUGCUUACUGGCCAGUGAUCUGUGAGGUGGCAGGUCACAACAUGAGAACCCCGGGAAACAGGAUGCUGUCUACAGGAAGUAGGAGCCGGGACCUGGUUAGAUUGUCUGAAGCACUCAAAUGUGAGACACACGAAUGGUAAAGCAGCUCGGAAGCACAGAGAAUCAUAGAGAGAAGGCAAUUAGUAGUCUCCAUAAGGUUGCCAAAGACACCACAAGCAAAAGCCAAGAGCUGAAGAAAGAAGAGCAGAGGCACUGAGUAGUUGCAAGAGAAGUGGACAUUAUAGGAGCUGAAAUAGAAGGUAGCGGAACCAUCAGGAAACUGAAACUUGACCUAAAGGAGGACUAAAAGUGGGCUAAGUUGCUGGAGUACAGCUGUUGAGAUUAUUUUUCAUUAUUCCCGAGUUCUCUGGGUAUUCAUACAGCAAACCAACUAACUAUGUUAAACUGGGCUUCUCACUCUUCCUCUAACUUCAAAAAGUCUCAUACAUCUAAGAAAAUAUAAUGAAUUCAUAUGAUCCCAGAAUUUCAGCUCUACAAGAGAACUUAGAGACAUUUUGCCAAAGUGUUUUCCUGUUUAUUUUUCUUAUGAAGAAUUUCAGUGCCAGAGAGAAUAAAAGUCCUUGCUUUGCUCCA